UACGUAGGUGGCAAGCGUUGUCCGGAUUUAUUGGGUUUAAAGGGUGCGUAGGCGGUUCCAUAAGUCAGUGGUGAAGUACGGCAGCUUAACUGUCGAGGUGCCAUUGAUACUGCGGGACUUGAGUACAGACGAGGUAGGCGGAAUUGACGGUGUAGCGGUGAAAUGCGUAGAGAUCGUCAAGAACACCGAUAGCGAAGGCAGCUUACUAGACUGAAACUGACGCUGAGGCGCGAAAGUGUGGGGAGCAAACAGG
rnacentral:rRNA from 1 species